GACGAACGCUGGCGGCGUGCUUAACACAUGCAAGUCGAACGGAAAGGCCCUGCUUGCAGGGUGCUCGAGCGGCGAACGGGUGAGUAACACGUGGGUGAUCUGCCCCUUACUUUGGGAUAAGCCUGGGAAACUGGGUCUAAUACUGGAUAGGACCAUGCUGUAGGUGGUGUGGUGGAAAGAUUAGUUUCGGUAAGGGAUGAGCUCGCGGCCUAUCAGCUUGUUGGUGGGGUAAUGGCCUACCAAGGCGUCGACGGGUAGCCGGCCUGAGAGGGUGGACGGCCACAUUGGGACUGAGAUACGGCCCAGACUCCUACGGGAGGCAGCAGUGGGGAAUAUUGCACAAUGGGCGCAAGCCUGAUGCAGCGACGCCGCGUGGGGGAUGACGGCCUUCGGGUUGUAAACUCCUUUCAGCCAUGACGAAGCCCUUGUGGUGACGGUAGUGGUAGAAGAAGCACCGGCUAACUACGUG
rnacentral:rRNA from 1 species